CUAGCUUCUAAUACGGGCGAUACACUUUUUUCCCUUACAGGCGAAUGUAAUUAUAAUGUGAUAGACGAUCCAUGUUAUAGACGAACAGUUUUUACCAAACUUAAAUCCUGAUUCCCACGCUCGUUCUUUUUACGAGGCGCGAAGAUACCGGGUGCGCGGAAUUGUACCGCGAGCGUGAUCCCGAUACAAUCUACUAUUGUAAUUAUUAUUGACGCAACCUGCACAACCAUAUUGACUGCGUCCGUGAUUGCAGCAGUCUCAAUGACACGAAUAUGAAUCAAGGAAUGUCAAGAUUGCCAAGGAGUACUUGGCGAGUUGGGUGCAACCUAGUGCAAUUGCGAACAGUUGCGAUGGCGAUGAUUGUGGAUGGUCUCUAUGGGAUAGUCGCGAGUGUAACGUGACGUUUACUUGGUUUAUCACCUCACGUCAGCUGACUGGCUCAGACUGGCCUAAUCAGAUCUGAUUGUUAAGUCAAAGACGGAUCGACGCCAAUGUUACAAUCAAAAUAUUAGAUACGUGCUUUGCAAUAUUAAUCGAUUAAUCAUGCACGAAUUUCAUUCGUAAAUCCCUGAUACGUGUGUGACCCUGUGUUAUCGGAUUACGGCUUCGAAUUAUGGGAGUGUACGGCUUGUGGAAAUUGCUCGAAGCAUC